AUGGAGGAAGGUCUAAACUUCAUGAUUUACCUCCAGAAAGAAAAAACCAUAGAUGAUUCAGGAAUGCCAGCAAAACGGUUUUCUGCUGAAUUUCCCAAAGAGGGACCUAACGUCCUAAAGAUCCAGCUGCCAGGGGGAGUCCCAGAGCUGAGCUUCUUUUCUCAUUUCUCUUCCAGCAAGUGUGUGGAGCUACAAGGAGACCGCCUUCUCACUAUGAGCAACCAGGUACUCUGCUGUGUGGCCCUUUGUCUCCUUGGAGCAGGAAUCAUAGAUGGUGGAGUCACUCAGACCCCAAAAUACCUGUCCAGAAGGGAAGGACAGAGUGUGACCUUAAAAUGUGAACAGAACUUGAAUUACGACGUCAUGUACUGGUACCGACAGGACCCAGGGCAGGGGUUGAGACUGAUCUACUACUCACAGACUGUGAUGGACGUUCAGAAAGGAGACAUAGCCGAAGGCUACGGUGCCUCUCAGGAGGAGAAGGCGUUCUUUCCUCUCACUGUGACAUCAGCCCGAAAGAACCAGACAGCUCUCUAUCUCUGUGCCAGUAGUUUAGACACA